GUCAAUGACCCUUGUAGUAAAAAAAUUGCAGUUGCCAGUUCAAAGUGGGGAGGAAUUGAACAAGAGGGAUUGAUAAUAGAGCAAGAACAUGUGAUGGCCAGCAGAGGUCAGUGUUUCUACAUUGAAACAGGGAAAGGGGAAAUGGAAGGAAAGAUGUACCAGGGAAAAGAGAGCCUGAGCAUCACUGGAAUACAGGACCAGCCCAAGUGCCUCUGCUGGGGCAACUUGCUCCUCUGUCUACCUCCAUUCCCAAAGGGAAUGAUUUAGCAGUACAAUCACUUGCCUGGGGCAGUCUGAAAGAGACUGCAGCUCAGUCUCCAGGAUCCAUGUUGAUCCCACAAGAGGAUCUGGCAUUUGUAUUCCCCUGGUGCCCCAAGUGAUAUUCCUCAAUAUUAGAUUUCAAAACCCAAAACUUUAAAAUCCAAAAGAUCCAGUUCCAAUUAAUUUGAUAUGGUUGCAAUACUAUGAAACCCAAGGGAAAAGAAACCUCGAAUACCUAAUGGUCAGGGGUCCCUUUACCUUUUACCUCGGGUUACAUACGCUUCAGGUUACAGAUUCUGCUAACCCAGAAAUAGUACCUUGGGUUAAGAACUUUGCUUCAGGAUGAGAACAGAAAUCGUGCUCCGACGGUGCGGCGGCAGCAGGAGGCCCCAUUAGCUAAAGUGGUGCUUCAGGUUAAGAACAGUUUCAGGUUAAGAACGGACCUCCAGAACGAAUUAAGUACUUAACCUGAGGUACCACUGUAUUUGCAUUUAAACCUUUCUCAAGGUGGUGUACAUGGUUACACACCCUCCUCAUUUAAUUCCCACAACAACAACCCUGUGUGGUAGACUAAGGCUGAGAAAGGGACGUAGGUGGCUCUGUGGUCUAAACCACUGAGCCUCUUGGGCUUGCCAAUCGGAAGGUCGGUGGUGAGCUCCCAUUGCUCUGUCCCAGCUCCUGCCAACCUAGCAGUUCAAAAGCAUACUGAUGCAAGUAGAAAAAUAGGUACCGCUGCAGCGAGAAGGUAAACGGCAUUUCCGUGCACUCUGGCACUCGUCACGGUCCUCCGUGUGCUAGUAGUGGUUUAGUCAUGCUGGCCACAUGACCUGGAAAGCUGUCUGCGGACAAGCGCCAGCCCCCUUGGCCUGAAAGCGAGAUGAGUGCUGCACCAGGGGUCCUUUACCUUUACCUUAAGGCUGAGAGGAAGCGACUGGCCCAAGGUCACCUAGUGAGCUUUGUGGCUGAGUGGGGAUUUGAACCCAGGCCUCCCAGGUCCUAGUCCAACACACUAACCUCUACACCAUGCUGGCUUUCAUUUAACAGUUCAGUUUUCUUCUAGUGAUUCAUACAUGGGAUUGCAUUGUAAGUCAUGCUUGGAGUAAGCCCCUUGAAAUCAGUGCACUUACUGACUUGCCCAUUGAUUGGAUUUGGAUUUGAUAUCCCGCUUUUUCACUACCCAAAGGAGUCUCGAAGCGGCUAACAUUCUCCUUUCCCUUCCUCCCCCACAACAAACACUCUGUGAGGUGAGUGGGGCUGAGAGACUUCAGAGAAGUGUGACCGGCCCAAGGUCACCCAGCAGCUGCAUGUGGAGGAGCAGGGAAGCGAACCCGGUUCCCCAGAUUACGAGACUACCGCUCUUAACCACUACAUCACACCGGCUCACCAGAUUACCAGUGGGGCUGCUCUGAGUAGGUAUUGGUUACGAUCCAAGGUUUCCGCUUUUCUUCACCACUGAUGGACUUUUCCUACCUUUCCUUUCCAGGUGCAUUUAAGAACUUCAACACUAAUUAGGUAAUAUAAUAUACCAAUCCCCCCUUCUCCCCCUGUCCCCAGCGCCACCAGUCAUUCAGCUUAUUUUUGUUCUGUCAUUUCCUGCUAUUAAGAAGUUACCUGCAAGAGAUCUUUUCCUAGAACUCAAGGACUCAUUACCAAAUUUACCCUAUAAUCUCCUUGAUGACAGAAGAAAGCGAUUAUCACAGGGUUCUUUCUGAAAUAGCUAAUCACAUAGCACUUCUGCCAAACAUGAAUGAAGUCAUCAUUUAUAUAAUGGCACCUCUUAAUAUCUCCCUGUCAAAUUAGGGAACAUCCUUUUAAAACUCAUUGGGAUGUAAUACUAUUUUCAUUUUUUUUAAGGAUACAAUAUAGCUUGAAUAUGAGAGAGAGAAAGAAUACAGUGGUACCUCGGUUUACAUACACUUCAGGUUACAUACGCUUCAGGUUACAGACUCCGCUAGCCCAGAAAUAGUACCUCGGGUUAAGAACUUUGCUUCAGGGUGAGAACAGAAAUCGCAUGGCAGCAGCGGGAGGCCCCAUUAGCUAAAGUGGUGCUUCAGGUUAAGAACAGUUUCAGGUUAAGAACGGACCUCCGGAACGAAUUAAGUACUUAACCCAAAGUACCACUGUAUCCCGUUUCCCACAGUGACCAAUCUGAUUUCUUUCUUUCUUUACUAUACAUAAUUUAUAACCUGUACCUUAAAAAAAAAUUUGUUCCCUAGGCAGUAGCAUAAAACAAAAAGUGCAUUUUUACAAUAACAAUUUUAAGAUAUUUUAUUAACGCACUAAAUUUAACAUGUGUAUGCUUUAUUUUACUGUUAUUAACAUGCCAAAUUAAAACAGUAACAGUUCAUCCAAAUAGACAAGGGAAUCAAACUUCUCUAAGUUAAAAAUGUGCUAAAUUGCCAGUUCUUAAAGGCCUAGGGGGAAAAGGAAUUAUUUCAGGGGUGAGGACAUUGUUUUAUAAAGUUGAUGGUUUCUUUUUAAUUGUGUGUGUAAGUCGCUAGGACUUUUGUAUUAGGUGAUUAUAAUAAUGAUAAAUAUAAAAUAUUUAUAAUAAUGAUAAAAAUAGCAAGUUCUCCAGGUGGACCUAUGAUUGGAGAGGGUAUUCCAAGGGCUUCCCACUGUUUUCCCACUUCUGUCUUUUGUGUGUGUGUGUGUGUGUGUGUGAGAGAGAGAGAGAGAGAGAGAGAAAACACCAUGGAUCUGUAUAAGGGCGUAGUGAUAAUUCUAGAAUCAUAGAAGGGUUUUAUUUUCAUCCCUUCCUGUGUCUCUAUAAGGAGCCACCUGCUACAGUACUGAGUGAAUAGACAUGUUCCUGUGUCACAGACUUCCAGCACUAGAGCAUCUUGAGGAGAUAGCCUCUAGGUCCAUCUUCCAAGGCUUAAUCCUGCCCCUUCCAUUUUGCAUUUUUCUACUUCUGUUUUAUUAUUGGACACCUUCCCCAGGUUUUUUUUUUAAUUAUUUUAAAAAAUGGAUCCAGCCUCACUUUUUAUUUAACAACUGAAUAUGAAAUCCAGCUUGAUUGUAAUAAAACUUUAAGGCUCCCUGCGGUGUUUGCAGAAAGGUGAGGAUGGAAGAACAAACAAACAAACCCACCUUAUGAGCAGUGCUGGAUUUAUGUAUAAGCUAAACAAGCUAUAGCUUAGGGCCCCACUCUUUUGGGGCCCCCAAAAGAAAUCAAAAGGGAAAAAAAACUGGAUGUACAUUUCC